UUUUUGUACCUGUCUGGUUUUCUGAGAAUAAAAUUAUUUAACACUUAUUGCCGAGGUACAUGGUGCAUCCCCUUUUCCUGCCGCCAUUUUGAAUAUAUUAUGCAAUAUCUCAAAAC